UGGGGAAUAUUGGGCAAUGGGCGAAAGCCUGACCCAGCAACGCCGCGUGAGGGAUGAAUGUUUUCGGAUUGUAAACCUCUGUCCUCAGGGACGAAGGAAGUGACGGUACCUGAGGAGGAAGCCCCGGCUAACUACGUGCCAGCAGCCGCGGUAAUACGUAGGGGGCGAGCGUUGUCCGGAAUGACUGGGCGUAAAGGGCGCGUAGGCGGCUGUGUAAGUCUGGAGUGAAAGUCCUGCUUUUAAGGUGGGAAUUGCUUUGGAGACUGCAUGGCUUGAGUGCGGAAGAGGCAAGUGGAAUUCCCAGUGUAGCGGUGAAAUGCGUAGAGAUUGGGAAGAACACCAGUGGCGAAGGCGACUUGCUGGGCCGUAACUGACGCUGAGGCGCGAAAGCGUGGGGAGCGAACA
rnacentral:rRNA from 1 species